ACUCGACGAGGAGCUGCACCUCCUCAUCAUAUCCUGCAGGAAGUUGUUUUACUUCAAAAUCUGGGCUUUCCUUGAUGUUAGUUUUGUGGAGCGGAUCCUGAAGAGUCAGAAAGAACGGCAGUGUGCCCUGCGUGUAUUCAAGGGAUCCUGAAGGAUUGGCAAGUCUAACCUGCCCUGGUCACACAUUUAGGAAGUUCUGGAAGGGAUGAUCCAGGGAAAAGAAUGAAUCAAGCCAUUGCUGUGGUAUUUGGACCAGUGGCCACUUGCCAUUGACUUGGUUUUACAAGGCCUCAGAAUCGGUUCGGAUGCAGGAACUGUGUUUGACGUUUAUGUCGAAGUUCUCAUCAAAGCCUGGAAAAUGUGGAGCCUCUUUUGCAAGAGUGGAGAUUGUUGCCUUUAAGCCAGAUCUUAAACACUGUUAGCUCAUUGUGAAAAACACAAGUGCCAGUGAUUAACAAAGAAUGUUUACUUAAUUUACUUCAGAUCUGGUCUCAGUUAAAGGUUAGCUCAUCCUUAUCAGGUGGUCACAGAAACUAGAUCCCAGUAGCAGAGUGACCUUUGGAAGCUAGAAUUGUAGUCAAUGGACUUAAAGUGAGAUCGUGGGAGCCAGUUCUUCACUUAAUUAAGCAGAGUUGAAAGACUUUCUUCUUUCCAGCUCCCUAUUUUCCUUCCUUGGGCUAUUUUCUGUAAGUCAGACUUGGUUUGCCUCAAUACUACAUAUGCCCUGUAAAAAUAAAUUAACUACAAGAGACUGUUGACUGUAUGGCCACCAGCCCUGCCCUGGUGUGUGUCCUUUGCAACACUAGUGUCUGAGGUGGAGCCCUCCAUUCCUCGUGUUUUUCAUCCACUCCCCCUUUCCUUCCUCUCCCCCGCCAGUAGAGGACUGUUUGCGCAAGAGACCAAUGGAUUAGCCAGCA
rnacentral:lncRNA from 1 species